rnacentral:lncRNA from 1 species
GAUUUUUGAAGGAAAAUCUCUAUUCAUUAUAGUAAGUACAAAAAUGAAUACAUAUCAGAAAAGUCCUCAAGGGACUGUACAUCAUAAAAUCAAAAAUACACUAGGGUCGUCUAGUAGUGGAGGAUGUGGCUCCCAUACUCAGUCUAGUAUGUCGCAUGACCAAGCUUAUCCCCUCAGAUACAUUCCCUAGUUGUGUGAUGAUCU